AACGAUAUGAUUCACACCUCAAAUAUUAAUACUUGCGAUGAAACAUAUUAUCCAUACUCGACAUUCUCUCCAUAAUAAAACAGUUUGCUAUCAGGUAGAGUGAAGCUCACUAGAUAUCCAUAUAUUCUAUCCCAGUAAACAACUUUUCAUUUUAUUGGAUUACCCUGGUCGUAGGUAGGUAAACGGGAAAACAACAAAUAUUAGAUAAGAUUAGGCUGACACUCGCAGAGAUGGAUAAGAGUCGGUGCCAGUGGUUUGAGAUCCAGUCACAGAAGAGCGUCAUUUAGAGAAAAUAAUAUUUGGGCGUUUUCACCCAGUACAUCUCGCUAUUUUCAUCUGAGCAAAUACAUAAUACAACGAUUCCAGAAAAACUGUCGAGUGUUUAGAAUUUCUGAUACAAAAUGGGGGAAACAUGUUGCUGUGGGUGUUGCACAGUGGCGACAGGAACUGCAAUCAUUGCAAUCCUGGACAUUAUCGGUGGUGUUCUACAAAUGAUACAAGGGUCGAUUGUUGCAAGUCUGAUGAUCUCUCACCCAGAUCGGAUUCCCGAAGAGCAUUACCCUAAUUUUAAGGAUCAUACGGCAGUCUAUAUUACGUUUCAAUUCAUUGGCAUAUUCAUGGCACUGGUUUACACCAUUGUAUCCGGUCUGCUAUUCCAGGGAUACAGGACGAGGAAUGUUCGACUCUGCUUGCCUUGGUUGUACUGGAAUUACAUUUCUCUGGGACUGGCCGCCAUUGGAGUCGUCAUAAUUUUCUUUGCUCUGGCGUUGAACGGCCAGUUCGUUGUUGGACUAAUUUUGGUGCUAAUUGCCAUCGUUGUUUUGGGGAUUGCGGUGUACUUUGUUUUAGUGGUGCAACGAUUCGUUAAUGAAUUGAGAGGAGGUGGUUAUUCAGCUGCUAAUGCAAAUAUCAAUUGAAUUGAGUCCAAGUGUCAAACUGGAAAAUAUUUAUUUAUAUACCUAAGUUUUCUUAACGUGGCAUUGUAUCACGUGUUUUUUGUUUGAAUUCCAGCAUGCUAUUCCGCCUUAAGCGGUGACGCAUUAAUUAAUUGUAAGCAAACUUUCGUCAAUUUUCGUUUACAAAAUUUAUUGUAUUGCGUAAUGAUAGAACAUUAUAUAUUUAAGUUCCAAUAUAUUUAACCAAAACAUAUUUGAUAGUUCAAAGCAUAAUCAAGUUAAAGUUUAGUGUCAAAUAUUUUUAGAUUUGAAGAUUCUUUCUCACAAUAUGGGCUGCCGUUGUUGCAUACAUACAUUUAUGUACUUGUUCUUUCAUAUGAUUUUCAGGCACAAUCAUAUUUUCCUUCGUCAAAGUUUGAGUUCUUGGGACUCGUUAAUCUUUACAUCUAGAUAUGCACAAUUUAUUAUUACAAGAUUAAUCAACACAAAUCAUUCGUUGUUAUUAAAUUCUCAACCAAUAAAUGACAGUAGUAUUUCGGAA